GGAGACGCUGAGGGCGGAGGGGGCGAGCGGGACCCCGAGUCCGGAGAAAGGCCCGGGUAGACAGACGGAGACCGAGCGAGGCCGGCCGGGAGGGCCUGACGCACGGGGAAGGCCGAAGCCGCCGGGCGGGGCGGCCGCGAGGGACGAAGGCAGAAAGACGGGCAGACCGAGAGAAAGAAAGAAAGGGCGUCCGCCGCUUGGGGAUCCCGAGGCGAAGCGCGGCGGCGGCGGCGGCGGCGGCUGAAGAGACAGAUCCCGGUCCCGCCGACUCGCGAGCGGCGUCUCCGGCAGCGGGGGGAGUGGGCGGGCGGGUCCCACAAACUGCAAGGAAAAGAAAAACCCUCAACAGGAAUUACCUUUAUACCUGAUGCCCCCAACAUAAUCUCUCUCCAAGGGAAACGUGUUUUUAUUGCCUUGCGGCUGAAAAUGUAUUCUCGAUUCUCCCCCUUCUCUCUUUUGUUGUGCAUUUUUUGGAUGUGGUAAAACUGGCAGUUUAUCUGAUUAUCUGGUUUUCAGAACUUUGGGCGAUGUCUCUGAGUGUCAUCAGUUGCUCUCUAGGUUUGACAUAGAUAAUUAAGCAACUACAAAGCGUGAUAAAGCUUUUGAGAGGGAGGAAAAUGUAUUUUGGAAGGAGGGAGAGACGCAAAGAGGCGAGCCUGUGUGUUGAGUCCCAGACUUGGUGUGUGACUACAGGCAAAGUACUUCACCUUUCUAGAUGUCAGCCCCGCCCCCCUCACCUCCCAAGUUUAAAUAAGAACUUAUUUUAGACUACAUGAUCCUGUUUUCAAUUUUUAAGAGUUCUGUGAUUUUGAGAUGAUCUCUCUUUAGUCCAGAAAAAUAGAGAAACGUAGGUCUAUGUUUGUUUCUCAAAAAAAUAUUUGAGGAGGACAGCUGUUACAAAACAGCUGGAGAACUCCAAAUUUUUAUGGUGGUUAGCUAGGUGCAAAUGGGUACAAUUUUAGGUUUGUUCAAAUAAACAUAGGGGAAAAGUAAAAGUACAGGAAAAUUACGUUAUACAUAUAAGUGUGUCCAUCAUUUCUGAUUUUUCUAAAAAUUUACUUUUUUAUUUGACAAGUACUUUUUGGCUCCUUCCGUGUAUGCAUUAAUAUGUAUAUAAGGUGUUAUGGGAAAUACUAAUAAAAGGAAAAUAUUGGGCAUAAA